GGUGCCAAGUCCAGACUCUCAGACGCUCCCAUCCCGGACCCCGGUCGUAAGAAGAGGGACAUCUUGCGGGGUAGGACCCACGGGCUGCCCGUCUGCCCCCUCCACCUGUCCCCCGGCUCUCAGCCCCUCCAAGCUGCAGACACGAUUCUGGGAUUGCAGGGAUGGGAGAAUACCGUCCUUCCAGGGGACCCUUGUGGCUCAUUUAUCCUGCGGGCCCGUCAGCAUCUCCGAGAGUGCUCACCAGAUGCGGAGCUCCCAGAUAUUCUCCCUGGCCACUGCAGCCCCACAGGCCACACGUGUCUCCAGAGAUGUCCUCUGAACAUGGGUGCCGGGCACUGAGCCCCAGGUCCUGCCCGAGGUGAGACCAGCACCUAGGCAACUUGGUUCACACCUGUCUUUCUCCUCAAGCUCUGCCGUGCUGAUGUCGCUGCAGCAGAAUGAAGUUUGAACAGGUCACGUGAUGCGUGGACGGCACCAGGCUUCGGUUACGAUGACAGACGGGCACAGGGCUCCCCGCACAGUCUCCGGCCACAGAUGCACACAAACGCAUGCACGUACCCUCUCUCUCAUCCCGUGUUCGUGGCUGGCAGGUGGCUCAAACACCGUAAGCAACAGAUUAGAUAUAUUAGCUUUUAGAGAAAACAGUCUUUCUGCUAAAAACGAUCUUGUGGGUCUGGGUUGGGCAGGCUGCCUUUAACUGAACUCAUGCCCUGGAUGCUGGCUGCUUCUCAUUUCACUUUUCUGCUUCAAAACAUCACCCUGGGUCCAGACAGAGCAAUGGAGCCCCCACAGCCCAGCAGCCCAAAGGACGGCCUUUUCGAUCCCCGCUUAUCGUCCCGCUCAACGCCCAAUCAUGGGCUAAUGGCAAGUGCGUGCAUGCAAAGCAGUUCUGCAUUUUCUGUAAACACUGCCGAUACACGUGUUCUCUACCAAGGGAAGGUCCCUCUCCUAAAAAAUCUAACUAAACAUCAUGAACAACAUAACACAUAUUUUUCAUUUGGGGGCUGGUCUGUCAGGAUGCUCAAAGCUUUACAAUGUGCACGUUUAGUUUCAAAGGCUUCUGUGGCAUGGAUCUUAAAGAGUCACGUGGGAGAGGGGGUCUGCAGGAGAGCGUGUCACGGAGCGAGCGUGAGGAUGCAGCGCAGCCGGGGCUCCGGCUGGUCCAACCCCCCUUCGCAAACGGCACCCGGGGAGACAGGAAGACGGUUUCCCCUGACGCUGGAUCCGUCUGGAAAUACAGGCUCCCCUGCACGGAAGGAAGCUCGUUGUGCAAUGUGGAGAAACGGCGAGGACGGCGGAUUUGUCAUGGAGCAACUCAGCGGAAACAGGAAACAAGACGGUGCGUCUCAACGGAAAGGUCUGUUUGGGAAAAUGGCAAGAUCGGGCCCGGUCAGGCCCACGAUCAUGGCUCCGAAGCGCUGCUCAAGCGUGCGUGACUCAGCAUUCCUGCAGCUAGAGUCAAGCAUCAAAGAGAACACAGCUCCCUCCGGACGGUUUCAGAGAGUUGUGUUUCCCAGCCACUUUCAGACACGCCACGCUGGGCCCCGGCCAGGUUCCCCCGUGGUUGCCAGGGACCGGGUCUGUUUAGAGCGCACUUGAGUAAGAUUAAACUCUGUGAACUUUAUCUUGUUUACCGAUCACGCAGCGAGACAACAUGCAACCAACAGACACUGGUGACGCUGGAGGACGCGGAGGAUGCAGGGUUCAGGUCUGCACGUGGGGGUGUCAGUGAAAGGUCUGCUACCAGCACCAGCAAACGUGUGCUGGGUUCCCUGCCAUCUGGUUGGAAGCCUCAGCGGGGAGCCAGCUGGCCUCGGGGACCCUGCGCGUCUCUGCUUAGGGACCGUCUCAGGGGCAGACCCCCUCCUACGUUCCGACAACCAAGGCUCCGGGAGCUGGAAAUCGACCAGGAGCUGUUACAUAACCAUCCUAAUAGAAAAUCGUCCACCCUCUGCCCAAACGCUUGCAUUAAUUCUAGCAGUUUUCUCGCCCACGUGGAUGAAGGGACUCCCAGACCACUGUCCUAGGUGGCCCGUGACGCGAAGCCUACUUGCCGUGCCAGACUUCUCAGCAAAGGGUUGGCCGUGGAAGGGAUGCAGGGAGGGUUGCCCACCGCGCAUCUCCGGGAUCACCACUCCCUUCCGGGGGCUGGUCCUCCGUCUCUCGCACAUGUCCGCCGUGUCAGCCCAUCCUCCCGGCAGCCCCGGCGGGCCUUGCCUGGGGUUUCGCCUCAGAGCUGAUUGGCUGGAGCCCCAGAGAUGCUGAGUGAAUCUGCCUCGAACCACGCACCCCAUGCGUGGGGGAGGUGGAUCGUCAAAUCUGGUUCUUCCCCUCUCAGGUUGGGGGAGUUUGCUCUCAGGAAGACGAGUCGCUGGAACGCAUAGCCGUCUGCUUCUCGAGACUAUUUCCUACCCGUGGAGAGCUUCCUGUCAAGAUGGACAUGACCUGCUCCAAAGGAUGCUGUGCAAGGGACCGCCAUGCACGGUGGUGGGUGCCUUUACCUACAAAACCUGGGGCUCGAUGACUGCUUCAGUCCAGGUGAGCAGGCGGGGAUCCCACUGACCCUGCCCUGCCCACACUCUCGUGAGGGACCCUGCUCCCUGCCUCUGAGUGUCUUAAACACCAACAGGGAAGACACUUUGGUAAGUGACUUAUUAGAGAAAUAGAUGACUUUGGUGGCCUCUGUGUCUUCAAAUGUGAGUUGCAGUAAUGAGAGGCUUGGUCAACGUGUUGGCCUCACCUGAUGCAUUAACCUGCAUCCAGUUACCAGGAAACAAGACCGUGUGUCUAAAUGGAAAUUUAGGGGCGCCUGGGUGGCUCAGUCAUUAAGCGUCUGCCUUCGGCUUGGGUCAAGAUCCCAGGGUCCUGGGAUCGAGCCCCACAUCGGGCUCCCUGCUCCGCGGGGAGCCUGCUUCUCCCUCUCCCACUCCCCCUGCUUGUGUUCCCCCUCUCACUGUGUCUCUCUCUGUCAAAUAAAUAAAUAAAUAAAUAAAUCUUAAAAAAUAAAUAAAUAAUAAAUAAAUGGAAAUUUAGACAAAAUCACCUCAAUUUCCAAUCCUGAUCCAAAAAAAGUAGAGAAGGAGAGAGGGAGGGUGGGGGAGGGAGGGAGAGAGAGAGACUGAGUCCCGGACAGGAGAGGCGGGAGGAACUGGGGGGGCAGGAGAGUCUGCGUCCAGCGCAGCAGAGGGGUGUGCGCGACGCAUGAGGGAAAGGACCAGCUAGAGCAUCAGGCACCUUGAAUGGGUUCCAUUACGUUCAGACACACAUAAUUGGAGCUUUACCGUAUGUCAGUUCAGUUAUUUGGGACAAACCUCCAGCCUCGGGACGAGGCGCAGGCUCGCAGCCGAGGGGCUGAUGGCCGCUCAGGGCCACCCUUGGCAAAGACAGAAGAGGCUCAGAGGGAGCAGCAGGGCGAGCCCAAGCACCUGCACACACAGCAAAGACGAGCUGCCUUGCAUUUCUCAUCACCACCGUCAGUAGCCUCCGAGCCCGAAGUACAAACAGGCCGGUCCAAGCUGAUGGACACCGGGGCUCUUGGGCCGCUUGGGGCUCAGGGCGGCGGCUGCUUUCCCCCAACUCAGCAGCCCCCGGGCUGUCCUGGGGAUCUGUUUCCUCCACCCCCAAGGCACCCCCGUCCUCCGUUUCUGGAGUUUCCCGACCGACCUGCGGUGCAGGGUCUCCGGCCUUCCAGGUGAUGCCGACUUGAACUCUCCCCAUGGCACCCCCAUUGUUACUGAACUCUCCCCAUGGCACCCCCAUUGUUACUGAAUUGGACAUAAGCCAAGGAGACUUUCCUGCGCCACCGUUUUACUGCUGUAAGAACCACUGGCUUGCAGACAGGAGGAAACAGGAAGGAAGCAGGCGGCCUGGGAACUGGGUCUGCGUCCCUGGAGAGCUCUUGCCAGGGGCCGGUUCCUUCUCCAGAUCAUGCCUGCGAGUCUCUCUCACUGCUUGGUUUUCUCCACGAUCCCUGUGGGUGGGGCUGGAGGCCACCUCCUGUCCUUCUCACCCCAGAUGACCUUUCUCCAAGGAAGAUGCCUUUCUCAACAUGAAGCCGGAGACACAGCUGAGAGGCCAAGGGCUGAGAAUAAAGGGAGAGUCCCUGCCUGUCCCGGACUCCUGUGCAGUCAGUUACAGAGCCGCCGACACCACGUGAGGGUCUCGAGGUGCCCCGUCUCCCUCCUCGGCGAAGGACUGCUGGAGGCAGAGGGGACUUUAGGACUUUCUUCUCACCUCAGCCAGCAUGCGUCCCCCAGGGAGCCUGCCUCAUACCUGGACAGGUGGGUCCAGCAGGUGCUUACCUCCAGCGGGCCUUCCUGUCCAGUCGGUAAUGAUGUCAGAUCCCCAUUCCUUGGAAUGAAGUCUGCAGAAUAAGAUUUAUCCAGAGCUGCCGCCGGAGCCUCCCCUGCCUGCCUCCAGGCUCAGCCCCAACAUUCGGGGGCUUCUCAUUAGAUUUUCUUAAAGAAAAACCUUUCAUCAUCUAAAUCAAAAGUGACCAACGAAGAACUUGGGAACUAUUGAAUGACAUCAUUUUGAAAGGACACUUUUAGCUUUGCUACCUGAUUUUGUCAAGCACUUGUCUCAUGAAAACUCAGCUUCUCUUGGAAAUGAUCACGGGCGAUCUAAACAAGUCAGUGGAUGUCCGUCUGUCCUUCCUUCCUUCCCUCCUUCUCUCCCUCCUCCUUCCCACCCUCCUUCUUGUCUUUCUUUGAAUUUGGAGGAUUCCAAGUGUUUUUUAGAAGUUGAAACUUUUUGAUUCCAUAAAUUAUUAAAUAUUUGCUUUCAGAAGUGAUUGACUCGUACCAUGGAAUCAAGCAUAAUGCAAAUACGUAAAGAUUGGAAUCUCCAAUGAAAUCCAUAUUGACGUGGAGUUUACUGAUUCUCCUCGAUGGUAGAAGCGCGGAGGAGAGCAGGUUGCUCACGGAAGCCUGUGUUGGGCACACAGAUCCCCAGAAACAAUCGGAGCACGUCCACGGAGGCAGGUCUAGGGAAAGGAGCCACCUUGGGGGUGUUAUUGGGCAGACGUCCUGACAUAGAGGUCAAGCCAGCCUCCCGAGGUUUCAAUUGGCCUCAACUCCUUACUCCCUGGGCUUUGGCCUCAUCAUCUAGAACAGCAGUGACCGUGUCCGCAAGCCUGUUGUCAGAGCCUCCGUGGGCCCAUCUCUGAAACGCUCUUUGCAGCGACGCAUGUAGGGCUCACAGAACAGGGCUCUGCCAACCGGUCAUCUUCUUUCUGCUGCUAGGCAGUUGUUCGGGAGCAGGUAAUCCACCACUCUGAACCUCAGUCUCAUGCCCCAUUCUGACUUCAUGCAAGGAGACGACUGGGGGUGGUGCCGGGCAGGGAGGUGCUCUGGGGGUUACCUGCCGACCGAAUCCCAGAACGGGAGGACCCUUCUGGACCCUGCGGGCCAUGCGGUCCAUGAACUUGUCCCUCCCUGUGCUUUCUUCCCCAGAAGGCUCCGUGGGAGUGGGCUUUCCUCAGUCAGCAUGCAGACUCCUGGGACAGCCCAGGGCAAGCGUGUUCAUGUUUCCAGUAGCUUAGUGAUUACCAACUCUGGGCUUUGUGAAGUUACGCAUUUUUCUCUAGCUUUCCACCCAUCCGCUCAGUUGUGCUCCAUGAAGUACGUGGCUGUGGUCAGAGCCUCCGACACUGGAGACAGGCUGUCCUGUGCUGACUCGAACCCCCGGUCCUCCGUGUCCCUCCCACGGCAAACUGAACCCAUGACCUUGCUGCGUCUCUCCCACCCCACUCCGUGUGCGUGUGUGACCACCGCAAGGCGCUUUCGGGAAACUGCUCUGGACUGAGGUCUUAGGAUGCUAUCCACGAGAAUAUUAUAUUGAGGUCAAUUCCUUACCAAGUCCUAGGUUCCUUUUUCUCUGUUUUGUUUGUUUGUUCGUUUGUUUUUUGGCUUUCUUUAGAUCACUGUAACUAGGAUAAAACAUUUGAGCUGAGGAAAUAUUUAAUAGGAUCUGUGUUAAACAAGGAAUAAGUAAAUCAUCUGGAAAGGAAUACGUUACUUGAGCCUAAUCUGUACCUUUUUGUGAUCUUCUGAAAAUGUUUACAUAACUGUUCUCUUUGUGUUUUUAAUACUCCUUGUUCUUCUUGGUUCGGGCCAGAGUGUGAGGCAGACACGCCAAGAUAGCAAAAGAGUGAUUUUCCUGAUGUCUGCACUUCAAAUACAAAGAAGCCCACAGUAGAAUGAUGUUGGCCUCCUCCCUUCUGUACCCCAGAUGCAAUCCAAAACCCAGAAAUGAAAGAUUGAAGUAACCCUCUUUAGUGUCCAUGAUCCCGUCUUCAUUUCUCUACCAUAAAUAACUCGUAGAGACUCCAAAGAUACACGUGCAAUAUGGUUAAAACAAGGAAAACCUUGGGUGGGGAGAGGUCCAAACACGUCGGUUACCCAGGGCGUUGCCAUGAUAAUCGGACAGCAAGCGGACCACUUCCGGGCACCUUCAUAGUCGAGGAGAAAGGAAAGACACUGUCACUCAAACACCUGUUGUUAUCUUCUUAAGAAGGAAAAUGAAGGGGCGCCUGGGUGGCUCAGUCGGUUACUCGUCUGCCUUCAGCUCAGGUCAUGAUCUCAGGGUCCUGGGAUCGAGUCCCGCAUCGGGCUCCCUGCUUAGCGGGGAGUCUGCUUCACCCUCUCCCUCUGCCUGUCACUCCCCAGUUGUGCUCUCUCUUUGUCUCAAGUAAAUAAAUAAAAACUUUAAAAAUAAAGAAGAAAACUGAAGUCACAUCUAUGAUGGAUAAACUAUUCCCAGCAUUAAAUUCCAAAAGGAAUGUACUGUGCCUUUGGACCUUGAGGGGUCAUCGUCUAGCACGACAUAUAAAAGCUCUCGGAAAGGUUUUCUAAGUCACAGGUGUGACAUGCUUGCGGGAACAAAACUAAAAAGAUCCAGCUGCCUCUACAUUCGGGGAUCAAAUUUACUAGAAAGACAUGUGUGCCUCCGUCAGCCACUUCGUAAGUUGAUUUUGUUGCCACUUUGUCAUCCUAAAUCACUUCUGUGCACUACCAGAAUCAAGGGGCAAAGAACCUGACCUGGACUAAGCAUACCGCCGAGCUUACAGUCAAUGUGAGGGAAACUCCUGGUGACUUGGUUCAUUUCACCCAACCGUCUGUAUAAAUGUCUUGAAUAACGUGGGACUCAUCGAGGAGAGGAGAUGGGGAAAUCGGUAUUCCAGAGAAGAUGGGGUGGGGAACGCAGACAGGUGCAAGAUCCAAGCACCUACAGGUUUCCCUCCGGGCAGGGGCUGGGAAUGCAUCUUCCCCUCUUUGCACUGAGUUAGGAAAAAUAUCUAAAAAUUAACAAUCAAAGGACAUAGAAGGGGUGUGUGGUCAAAAGCAAAAGCCCACUGUAACCACUAUUAAGUUUCUUGUGAAUCUCAGACAUUUGUGAUGCACCGGCAAGCAUAGGUUCUUGGAUAGGUUACGCACAUUUUUACAUAAAGUUGGUAUUACUAUUUAGUUUUCUCUUUGCUAACAAUAUACCCUGGGCAUCUUUCCACAAUAGUAUGAACAGAUUCUCCUUCUAUAUUUAACAUCUGCAUAGUGUAUCCAAAUGUUCAGGUGCCUCGUGAGAAGUAACUGGCUCUCGAUCAGUGGGCAUGUAGAUUGUUCUCAGUUUUUACUAUUAUGAAAAAAAAAUCUGGAGUCAAUAUCCAUGUACACUUAUGCACAUGUAUCCGGAGGAUAAAGUUUUCAAGUUGGAUCAGACAGCAUUGACAUUUAAAAUUCCAGUCCGGAUAGCUGAAUUACCCUCCAAACAGACUGGAUUCACGUUACCCGCAACACUGUGUGACCAGGAUGCGCCCCACUCACCCAAACGAACACUGAAAACAAACAGGUCAGCCAAGUUUUUCUUUGUUCUUACAUUAAAAAAAAUUUUUUUAUGCAUAAGUUUUAAAGUAUCUGAUGCUUAGUUUUGCUGGAGGGGGUCAACAUGAUAUCCCCCUUUUUCUUUUCAAAUGGCAAGCAGUUUCCCCUAAGACCAAUGAUUAAAUAUCCCUUUUCUGCAAACUGGAAAUGUACAAAUUCAAAGCCAGGAAACAAUUACCAAGUGCCUUCUAAAUAUACAAAACAGUGCUAGCCACCCACCACGUAACGUGGUCCGUGCCUCAAGCUUUGGAAGACUGUGCUGAUGGGGGACAGGGGGUUGCAAACACAAUCGGCUGGUGUGUGGCCUAAGGGUCAUAUCAUAUCACAGCAUAAUCUCUGGGUGGCUUUCUUAGGGGAUAAUUGCAAACUCGCCAGGAAGAGAUGGUGGGAGGCUUUGCGAAGGACCGACGUAGCCAUCGACACGGGAGCUGAUGGAUUUGGGGAACAGAACGAGCUCAGCACCACAAAAGUCCAGUUGGAGUUCCUGUCCUUCACCUGGAAGGGGGGCCUGAGGUCCCCACCAGAGCAAUUUGCCCAUAGGCUCCAACUACAGGUAUUCCCGGACGAUGGGCACAGAGGGGCCAGGACAGAGGGAGCAUGUCCGUGAGAGCAUGGAGGCCUGGAGUGACGAGCACGCGUGCGGGGCCCCGGGGUGGAAGGCGAGGAGGCUGGGUUUGGGUGCGAGCGUUCGCUGAACUCAGGAGUGGUGCUGUGUGUCCAGUGGGAACACGGAGCGCACUCACUGGUCCUGCAGAGAGCUCCACCCAGCUGCACUUAUGGAGACUCGCUGCGUGCCCUUGGCCUUCGCUGGGCAGCACAGACCUCACGACGGACAGUGGUAACAUCUGUUUCUUGUACACAGUACCUGGCCCAGGGGCCCCAUAGACAUUUACUGAACGAGUCAGUAAUGCACUGGGGUGACUGUGAACAUGCAGGCGAUUAGGAGCCUGCAUAAAAAUCCGUCAAAUGUUCCAAGUCACGGCGGGCAGGUGUCGGUACGGAGGACGGGGGUUCGCAUGGAUGAUCCCAGACUCGCUUUGUCGUCCUAGCCUCAACUGGCUGAUGAAUGGCGAUCAGUCAUGUCGGGCCAGAGCGAGGGUCCAAGCACAGAUGCGUCUCCGUGAUUGAGCUCACUUACUUACACAAAUGGAGCGAAUCUCUUGGGCGAAAUUUGGAAAAUCCUGAGACGCCAGUGAAGAAAGCAAACCCCCCACCACGCCACCACCGAAGGCGCCACCGGUAAAGUUACAAGUGACAGGGAGACCGGACUUGAGCGUUCCUGGAGCGGACAACCCUCGAAGCCACGUCAACAAAACUAAACCUGGUGUUUCACGAACAUGAACGAAACCUGACUUAACUGAUUUCUUGUAAACGCCUCUGAGGAUUGUCAAAGAAAUUCAAGUCGCCUUCCUGAAAAUGGGCCUAGGGAAGCCGUGCAUCUCUGCUCCCAGGAAAACAGCGCGGAUCCACCAGAGACACACUCACGUGCAACUCGUCAGCAACUUGGAUGUAGAUUUUAUAGCAGCAUCCUAAAUGCCUAUAAAGCUGUCCCCCACCUUCGGAACUAAGAGCAUCUCAGCCCUGUCCCCUGAGGAACAACGACGAUUGUGAAUUUUGUGCAUCUUGCCGUCAUCCCUCCCAGAUGUAAUAGUAACUAUCAUAUGUAAGUGUUCCAUAAAUAUCAGCUAUUAUUAGCCAUAAACAUUACCUUUAAGUCUUUAAGUAAUCAGCCUCAUAUAUGUUAAAAAGAAAAUCUUAUUUGUCCAGUUCUCCAAAAAUCAAGACAUCUUUAGAUGGUUUCUGUACCAAAUGUCCUUAUUUUUGAUCAGCAGGCCAUCUUUUAAAGAACCAUCCCAUACCCAAUCUAUCUCUUGUAUCCAGAGGUAGUUAUGUCCAGUCAGACUUCCCUACACAGUAAUGUGAAUCACUGGAGAGGUAGCAGGAGAUAAGAAACGCUCAAUUCAUACAGCUGAGCUCCAUAAAGAUGCAUCUCUAUCAACGUUACCCCAGUUCCUGUCCUUCCUGAGAUCUGCUGUUCAGGUUGUCCUUCAAGUCUAUCCUUCCAAUAAUUCUCUUUUUCCUUUUAACACAGCCAGAACUUGUGUAUCUUACAAAGAACCCAAUCUGAUACAGUUAGGUAAUAUGAAAUCACUCUAUAAAAAGGAGGGUUCACAAACACAAUUGCCAAAAAUCAAACUGAACAUUAUUAAAACGAGAAGAUUUUACUGUUUGUCAAGUAUUAGAAAAUGGCAUCAUAUUACAUGUUAUACACCAUGACUUUCUUUUUCAUGUUUCGUGUUUCGAUCACAAGCUGUGUUAGUGCUGACGACGGCCGCAGUUCAUUCAUUUUCAUUGCUUAUAGUAUUUUGUUGGGUGUAAGACCUCAGUUUAAUUCAGCAGUUUUCCACGGAUGGCUAUUGGAGUUGUUUCCAUUACUUCAGUCAUGAAGAAAUUAUGCUUUUAAUUGCAUUACACCUGGCAUGGACUUAUAAAACCAGCGAAAAAUAAAUAAAUAAAUAAAUAAAUAAAUAAAUAAAUAAAUAAAUAAAAAGGAGGAAAAUGAGUUAGAUGAAACCCAGGUGGCCAGAUGGAGGACCGUUGAAUCUGGCUGAAGAAUGUGUCGGGGGUGGUGUGCUAUUCUGCGUGUUUCUGCGUGGGUCAUUUAAAAACUUUAAAAUUGGCAAUUUGGAAAAAAUAGAAUUGAAAACUACUACCUUGAAUUUGUUUACAAGACACUGGUAGACAAGAGCUUUAUUCCUCCAGCAGCCAGAUUUAGGAACAGAAUCGCCGAGUCCAAAGCCUCUGGAUGGAAGCACUGACGCCAGUUGUCUCCAGGGACACAGAAAUUCCUUAGAUCCUGGUGCACCCCAACACCUGGAAUUCACUUUUCUUUUGUUCCAUGUGGAUAACAUGCCUAGAACACUUUUUUCCCCUCUCUUGGCCAGUGUGCCUCCUUCUCCCAGCCUUCAAAGUGGAAAUGAUGCUGUGAGUGUCCAUGUUAGACCAUCAGGUGGGCGAGGAGGUCCGUCAGAAAAGCCACCAUUAAGGACAGAAGGAGCCUACACUACUAAUGAGCAUCAAGCCUCCAGCUGAGACAUCUGACAGACUUACUCUGUUGGAGAGGAAAAUAAAAACUAAUUCAAUUCAUUAACCUCUGGUGAAUCUGUAUUAAAAUUUAACAAUUAAAUAUAAACCCUAAAAUAGAGUUCCAUGUGU